UUGUGGCGUGCAUACAAAACAAACCCUUAUAUUAUUGAUGAUAAAAAUUUAAGAAAACUAUAGUGAAUAAAAAGAACGUUUAAAACUAUACACCUACACAUGAUAACAGAUAACUAUUGGCCUGUACCUGCCCAAAAUCCGGUGCAAAUACAGCCGGUAUUCAUUUUUCCUUUUUUGCAUUAAAAAAAACGAUUCACACGACCAUAACCACGUCAGCAACGCUAAUAUGACCCCUUUAUAUAGCGAGAAAUGGAGGUUUGGGUUUUCACAAAUUCCUCAAUUCCUUUAUUCCUAUCUUCCUCGAUAUCUCCUUGUAGCUUUCUACACAACGAUGGCUAAAUUUCAACGGUUUUCCAUGGAUCUGAAAUCUGGCUCCUCAGAUCUUUCAUUCCGUGGCGAGAUCUGCGUAUUCGUAUUACUUUUGAAAUCUCUUCGUGUUCGUCACUGUUGUUGAAUCAUCCUGUACAAUUGGAUUGUUGCGAUGAUGGUAUCUCAUCGCUGCUUGCUUCAGUUUCAUUUGUUGUAGAGAAGAUUAUUGUAACGGAAGCGUUGCUGGCUUGUUGCGUCUCAUUAACGUCAAAUCUCUAUUCGUGUUGUGAAUUUAGAUUAUGUGAUUGUUGUUUGGGGGAUGAAGUUGUUCUGAAUAAUAUAUUUGUGAACCGACCUUUGCCAUGACAGGUGCGCUUGCAUGGCAGGUCAAAAAAUGAAUAAAAGAAUAUUUUGUUGUUUCUGAGAGAGAUCGCACGGAAAUCGUCCGGGAUCUCUCUCUCGUGUGGUCUGUGUGAUCUUCUUCUUCUCUCGUUAUGCUUUCGUUUUUUCUUCAUUGCUCUACCACGCACACUCAUCGACAAAGAUUUAUCAUGAUCUCUGGAUUUUCUCCGUCUCUUAUAUAAUAAGAUGUGUAUAUAAUCUUUUAACAAGUUUAAUUAAAACAAGUGAUGCUGAGAACUGUAUUUUGAUUAAUGAACUUUGUACUUACGAGGAACGUGAUUGUGGAUAGAUUUCAAUUAGGCGUUAAGGUAAUCAGGUAAUCAGUGUAUUGGUAUUUACGCUAAACUUUAAUUUUCAUUAACAAGAUUGUUGAGAAAAGGUCUAUUUAGGGUAGUUUAAUAUUCCCUCUGGUUUUAUGGUUUUAUUUAGAAGGGAAAGUUGAUUUUUUAUAUUAUUUAAUAAUCAAUGUAUUGAUAAAUAAGACUAAGGAACUAUUAAUGAAAUCAUUAGUUGUUCAUACAUAUGAUAUGUGAAAUUAAUUA